rnacentral:rRNA from 1 species
UACGUAGGGUGCGAGCGUUGUCCGGAUUUAUUGGGCGUAAAGGGCUCGUAGGCGGCCUGUCGCGUCGGGAGUGAAAGCCCACUGCUUAACGGUGGGUCUGCUUCCGGUACGGGCGGGCUAGAGUAUGGCAGGGGAGACUGGAAUUCCUGGUGUAGCGGUGAAAUGCGCAGAUAUCAGGAGGAACACCGGUGGCGAAGGCGGGUCUCUGGGCCGAUACUGACGCUGAGGAGCGAAAGCGUGGGGAGCGAACAGG